AUUGAACGCUGGCGGCAGGCCUAACACAUGCAAGUCGAGCGAGCGGCGGACGGGUGAGUAAUGUCUGGGGACUGCCCGAUAGAGGGGGAUAACUACUGGAAAAGGUAGCUAAUACCGCAUACUAUCGGAUAACCCAUAUGGGAUUAGCGAGUAGGUGAGGUAAUGGCUCACCAAGGCGACGAUCCCUAGCGGGUCUGAGAGGAUGAGCAGCCACACUGUGACUGGGACACGGCACAGACUCCUAAGGAGGCAGCAGUGGGGAAUAUUGCACAUUGGGCGCAAGCCUGAUGCAGCCAUGCCGGGUGUAUGAAGAAGGCCCUAGGGUUGUAAAGGACUUUCAGUAGGGAGGCGUUACCGACAGAAGAAGCACCGGCUAACUCCGUGCCAGCAGCCGCGGUAAUUC
rnacentral:rRNA from 1 species